rnacentral:misc_RNA from 1 species
GAAAUGCGAUAAGUAAUGUGAAUUGCAGAAUUCAGUGAAUCAUCGAAUCUUUGAACGCACCUUUCGCUCAUUGGUAUUCCUUGGAGCAUGCCUGUUUGAGUAUCAUGAAAUCUUCAAAGUAAAUCUUUUGUUAACUCAAUUGGUUUCUACUUUGGUAUUGGAGGUCUUUGCAGCUUCACACCUGCUCCUCUUUGUUCAUUAGCUGGAUCUCAGUGUUAUGCUUGGUUCCACUCGGCGUGAUAAGUUAUCUAUCGCUGAGGACACUGUAAAAGGUGGCCAAGGUAAAUGCAGAUGAACCGCUUCUAAUAGUCCAUUGACUUGGACAAUACUUUUAUGAUCUGAUCUCAAAUCAGGUAGGACUACCCGCUGAACUUAAGC